rfam:Eubacterium cylindroides T2-87 draft genome.
AUGAAAGCGUUGAUAAGGAAAAAAUAAACAUGAGCGUUCUAUAGCGAGCUGUUGGUUGGUGGAAAACAGUGAACCUGUGUUUAUGAACUCACCUUUGAGCUGAUAGAGUGAAAUCAAAGUAAGUCUAUCCGGUUGCCUUCCGUUAACAAGGCAACGAUUCGCAAUAUUGCCGAUCGUACUGAGGGGUCGUGUUACGACAAUAAGAGUGGUACCGCGGGUUUAUUCUCGUCUCUUAA